rnacentral:rRNA from 1 species
UUGAACGCUGGCGGCAUGCCUUACACAUGCAAGUCGAACGGCAGCACGGGAGCAAUCCUGGUGGCGAGUGGCGAACGGGUGAGUAAUACAUCGGAACGUGCCCAGUCGUGGGGGAUAACUACUCGAAAGAGUGGCUAAUACCGCAUACGACCUGAGGGUGAAAGCGGGGGACCGCAAGGCCUCGCGCGAUUGGAGCGGCCGAUGUCAGAUUAGCUAGUUGGUGGGGUAAAGGCCUACCAAGGCCGAUGAUCUGGUAGCUGGUCUGAGAGGAUGAUCAGCCACACUGGGACUGAGAGACGGCCCAGACUCCUACGGGAGGCAGCAGGGGGGAAUCUUGCACAAUGGGGCGAAAGCCUGAUCCAGCGACUGCCGCGUGAGGGAAGAAGGGUUCGGUCCGUAAACCUGCUUUUGAUGGGAGAAACGGGGUAAUACUCGGGUAAUGACGGUACCAUCGAGAAUAAGCCCCGGCUAACUACGUGCCAGCAGCCGCGGUAAUACGUAGGGUGCAAGCGUUUAUCCGGAAUUUACUGGGCGUAAAGAGUGCGCAGGCGCUAUGCAAGACAUGUUAGUUGGCUGUGAAAGCCCUGGCUCAACUGGGUAUGUACUGCCAUGGACUGGCAAGGCUUGAGUGCGGCAGAGGGGAGUGGAAUUCCGGGUGUAGUGGUGAAAUGCGUAGAUAUCGCGGAGGAACACCGUAGGCGAAGGCAGCUUCCCUGGGCCUUGGCUGACGCUCAUGCACGAAAGCGUGGGUAGCGAACUGAAUUAGAUACUCAGGUAGUCCACGCCCUAAACGAUGGACGCUAGGUGUAGGGGGUAUCGACCCCUCCUGUGCCGAAGCAAACGCAUUAAGCGUCCCGCCUGGGGAGUACGGCCGCAAGGCUAAAACUCAAAGGAAUUGACGGGGGCCCGCACAAGCAGCGGAGCGUGUGGUUUAAUUCGACGCAACGCGAAGAACCUUACCAGGGCUUGACAUCUACCUGAAGACGUCGGAAACGGCGUUGCCUUUCGGGGCAGGUGGACAGAUGCUGCAUGGCUGUCGUCAGCUCGUGCCGUGAGGUGUUGGGUUAAGUCCCGCAACGAGCGCAACCCUCGUCGCUAGUUGAAUAUCUAGCGAGACUGCCGAGACAAACUCGGAGGAAGGUGGGGAUGACGUCAAGUCAGCACGGCUCUUACGUCCUGGGCUACACACACGCUACAAUGGUCGGUACAGAGGGCAGCGAUAGGGCGACCUGGAGCGAAUCCCAUCAAAGCCGGCCUCAGUUCAGAUUGGAGUCUGAAACCCGACUCCAUGAAGGCGGAGUUGCUAGUAACCGCAGGUCAGCACACUGCGGUGAAUACGUUCCCGGGCCUUGUACACACCGCCCGUCACGUCAUGAAAGCCGGCAAGACCUGAAGCCGUUGAGCUAACCGCAAGGGGGCAGACGUCGAAGGUCGGGCUGGUGAUUGGGACG